rnacentral:lncRNA from 1 species
CAUGGUGUAAUGUUUAUUGAAAAAGGAUUCCUUAGUGAAGGAUUGUUCAAGUUGAAUGUAAUAGCUCCUUUAAUAAAUGAAAAUCAUUUGAUUAUGAAUAUAGAACCCCCUUCUAUUUGGCAUGCUAGAUUAGGUCAUGUAAAUUAUAAUUCAAUUAAGCAACUUAUGAACCUAAAUCUAAUACCAAAAAGUGAUCUUAAGAACCAUGAGAAAUGUCAAAUUUGUGUAGAA